GACGAACGCUGGCGGCGUGCCUAAUACAUGCAAGUAGAACGCUGAAGCUUGGUGCUUGCACCGAGCGGAUGAGUUGCGAACGGGUGAGUAACGCGUAGGUAACCUGCCUGGUAGCGGGGGAUAACUAUUGGAAACGAUAGCUAAUACCGCAUAAGAGUAGAUGUUGCAUGACAUUUGCUUAAAAGGUGCAAUUGCAUCACUACCAGAUGGACCUGCGUUGUAUAGCUAGUUGGUGAGGUAACGGCUCACCAAGGCAACGAUACAUAGCCGACCUGAGAGGGUGAUCGGCCACACUGGGACUGAGACACGGCCCAGACUCCUACGGGAGGCAGCAGUAGGGAAUCUUCGGCAAUGGACGGAAGUCUGACCGAGCAACGCCGCGUGAGUGAAGAAGGUUUUCGGAUCGUAAAGCUCUGUUGUAAGAGAAGAACGAGUGUGAGAGUGGAAAGUUCACACUGUGACGGUAUCUUACCAGAAAGGGACGGCUAACUACGUG
rnacentral:rRNA from 1 species